rnacentral:rRNA from 1 species
AGUGAACGCUGGCGGUAGGCCUAACACAUGCAAGUCGAACGGCAGCACAGUAAGAGCUUGCUCUUACGGGUGGCGAGUGGCGGACGGGUGAGGAAUACAUCGGAAUCUACUUUUUCGUGGGGGAUAACGUAGGGAAACUUACGCUAAUACCGCAUACGACCUACGGGCGAAAGCAGGGGAUCUUCGGACCUUGCGCGAUUGAAUGAGCCGAUGUCGGAUUAGCUAGUUGGCGGGGUAAAGGCCCACCAAGGCGACGAUCCGUAGCUGGUCUGAGAGGAUGAUCAGCCACACUGGAACUGAGACACGGUCCAGACUCCUACGGGAGGCAGCAGUGGGGAAUAUUGGACAAUGGGUGCAAGCCUGAUCCAGCCAUACCGCGUGGGUGAAGAAGGCCUUCGGGUUGUAAAGCCCUUUUGUUGGGAAAGAAAAGCAGCAGGUUAAUACCCCGCUGUUCUGACGGUACCCAAAGAAUAAGCACCGGCUAACUUCGUG